rnacentral:rRNA from 1 species
AGCGAACGUUGGCGGCGCGCUUAACACAUGCAAGUCGAACGCGAAAAGUCUUCGGACUGAGUAGAGUGGCGCACGGGUGAGUAACACGUGAGUAACCUGCCCUUCUGCUUGGGAUAACACGCCGAAAGGUGUGCUAAUACCAAAUAAGACCACGGCCUCUGCGGAGGCAGUGAGAAAGCCGGGGACCCGAGAGGGCCUGGCACAGAAGGAUGGGCUCGCGUCCUAUCAGCUUGUUGGUGAGGUAAAAGCUCACCAAGGCUAAGACGGGUAGCUGGUCUGAGAGGAUGAUCAGUCACACUGGAACUGAGACACGGUCCAG